UGAGGGGUAGCUCAGCGGCAGAGCAGGGCGCUGUUAACGCCAAGGUCGCGGGUUCGAUCCCCGCCCCCUCAGCCA
rnacentral:tRNA from 1 species